rnacentral:rRNA from 1 species
GACGAACGCUGGCGGCGUGCUUAACACAUGCAAGUCGAACGGAAAGGCCCUGCUUUUGUGGGGUGCUCGAGUGGCGGACGGGUGAGUAACACGUGAGUAACCUGCCCUUGACUUUGGGAUAACUUCAGGAAACUGGGGCUAAUACCGGAUAGGAGCUCCUGCUGCAUGGUGGGGGUUGGAAAGUUUCGGCGGUUGGGGAUGGACUCGCGGCUUAUCAGCUUGUUGGUGGGGUAGUGGCUUACCAAGGCUUUGACGGGUAGCCGGCCUGAGAGGGUGACCGGCCACAUUGGGACUGAGAUACGGACCAGACUCCUACGGGAGGCAGUAGGGGGGAAUAUUGCACAAUGGGCGGAAGCCUGAUGCAGCAACGCCGCGUGCGGGAUGACGGCCUUCGGGUUGUAAACCGCUUUCGCCUGUGACGAAGCGUUAGUGACGGUAAUGGGUAAAGAAGCACCGGCUAACUACGUG